rnacentral:rRNA from 1 species
AAAGCGAGCGGCGGAUGGGUGAGUAACACGUGGGGAACCUGCCCCUAAGUCUGGGAUACCAUUUGGAAACAGGUGCUAAUACCGGAUAAUAAAGCAGAUCGCAUGAUCAGCUUUUGAAAGGCGGCGUAAGCUGUCGCUAAGGGAUGGCCCCGCGGUGCAUUAGCUAGUUGGUAAGGUAACGGCUUACCAAGGCGACGAUGCAUAGCCGAGUUGAGAGACUGAUCGGCCACAUUGGGACUGAGACACGGCCCAAACUCCUACGGGAGGCAGCAGUAGGGAAUCUUCCACAAUGGACGCAAGUCUGAUGGAGCAACGCCGCGUGAGUGAAGAAGGUUUUCGGAUCGUAAAGCUCUGUUGUUGGUGAAGAAGGAUAGAGGUAGUAACUGGCCUUUAUUUGACGGUAAUCAACCAGAAAGUCACGGCUAACUACGUGCCAGCAGCCGCGGUAAUACGUAGGUGGCAAGCGUUGUCCGGAUUUAUUGGGCGUAAAGCGAGCGCAGGCGGAAAAAUAAGUCUAAUGUGAAAGCCCUCGGCUUAACCGAGGAACCGCAUCGGAAACUGUUUUUCUUGAGUGCAGAACAGGAGAGUGGAACUCCAUGUGUAGCGGUGGAAUGCGUAGAUAUAUGGAAGAACACCAGUGGCGAACGCGGCUCUCUGGUCUGCAACUGACGCUGAGGCUCGAAAGCAUG